rnacentral:tRNA from 1 species
UAUCUGGAGGACUAGUGCUUAGGCCAUGGUGCUCUCACCACCAUGGCCCAGGUUCGAUUCCCGGCCAGGGAA